rnacentral:lncRNA from 1 species
AUGGAUGAUAUCCUGAAAUAUGUUUUUCAAGUUGUUUCCAUUCUCCCCAUCUCUUUCAGAGAGAGCAAUGAGUCAUACAUUUGGUCUCUUUACAUAAUCCCCUAUUUCUCUGAGGUUUUGUUCAUUUAUUUUCCUUCUUUUUUCUCUGUUCUUGUCUGACUGUCUUAUUUCAGAAAGGCAGCCAUCAAGCUCUGAGAUUCUUUCCUCCACUUGGUCUAUUCUGCUACUAAUACUUCAGCUCAGCCCAGUUCAGAACUCCUGUUGGAGAGAUGAUUCAGCUGUUUGCAGGAAAAAAGGCCCUCUGACUUUCACCCCAAGAUGAGACCAUCUAGUUGCAGGAAAGCAAGCUCAGGGAUCCCACAGAUUCUGCACUAUGGAGUGGACCAGCCUUUCAACCCCCACCAUCAUCAGUCAUUGCCUCAGAGCAGUCCACAGGAAACAUAACCUUGACCCAAAUAAGGAUUGUGAAGGAAGAGAGAAAUGUGGAAGAGAAGAGGAAGCAGAAGAAAAGAAAAGGAAUCAAGAUCUUACACUACCUGAAAAGCCUAAAAUAUUUACCUUUAUACAAAUCUUUCCCUUUGUAGAAAAAUUUUGACAAUCCCUGCUCUAGAGAGAGGAAGAAAACUCCAAGGAUUUACCAGGUUUCUGAAGGUAAACUACUGAGGAACAAAACCACUAAUAAAAUUCCUGCAAGAAUAAUGUAUUUUUUGAGUUUAUCACAUGGAGUUUUUUUCUUAACCAAAGGAUAAUUGAGCCCACAAAUAAAGACAAAAUAUCCACUAAAAAUAUAUCACGUAGAAACCAUUUUGAAAAUUAUGAAAAGAGUAUUUAACUAGCCUAAAUGUAGGUAGAACUAUAUGUCUGAUAAAAAAUAAAAAGCACACACUUAAAGCACACAACUUGCUAAGUUGUUGAAAUUCUCAACACAAUCAAGAUUAUAUAUUCAUAUACAUAUACAAAUAAAUAUACGUAAGAUAUAUGUAACUACCUAAUAUAAAAUAGACCAAUGAUAUGUAUAGACACUUCAUCAAAGUUAAGAUGCAUAUAUAUGUAUAUUUAUAUAUAUAUAUCCAUUACUAGUCUCAAAAUGUCCUCACGUCCUCUUGUAAUCUUCGUUUCUCCUUUUCUUGUCCUCCUCUCCAAUCUCACCCCAUUUCCAGGCAACCAGUGAUUAUCUUUGUGUUACUAUAUUUUUUUUCUCAAAUUGUAUAUAAUAAAAUAAGUUUGUUAUUUUGAUAUCCAUUCAUUUUUCAUGCAUGAAUAGUUUAUGCCUUUAUAUUGCAUUGUACAGAUGUACUAAAAUUUUUUAUGCAUUCACUUGUUUUUGACUGUUAUAAAUAAAGCUGCUAUGAACAUUUAUGUAGAAAUCUUUAUAUGUACAUAUGUAUUCAUUUCUUUUAGGUAAAUACC